UGAAAGUUCAAGUUUAAACCGGCUCAGUGAAUUAUGUUUACACGAGAGCUUGAUUAUUUCUCAAAUAUUAUAGUUCAAUAUAGGAUGAGGAAGAGUUCUUUCAAAGCAACUUCUACAUUCAGGAUUUUUGCCAAGAAUUUCAGGCUUCUGUCCACUCUGAGGUGUAUGUAAAAGCAUUUUGUUACUCGAUGGCACGUGCAAGAAUCAAGUGGGAAUACCCACAGAGAAUGAUGGAAAAAAGGUAAUUCGAAAAGCGUCAGCCUGGAAGGGAGGGAUCGGAUGCUCAUGAAUAUCGGACACUGACGUCACGAACGCGUUCACCUCUUUACGUCACCGGAAAUUCAAGUUCGUGGACGUCGACGCGAUCGCCUGGUGAUCGCGAUGGUGGAAACGUCGAGGACAUUUCAAGGUGAUUUAUUUUGUACCUAAAUGGAAUUCAUCUGCAAAGUGGAAAUAUGGCAAAGCUAAAGAGACUGAUGCAUGGUGUAGCUAAAACUGUUGUAGGAGGCUGUGAUGUAUUAAAUGGAAAUAUUCUUAAAAAUGGCC